rnacentral:rRNA from 1 species
AUUGAACGCUGGCGGCAUGCCUAACACAUGCAAGUCGAACGAGUGGCGGACGGGUGAGUAAUGUCUGGGAAACUGCCUGAUGGAGGGGGAUAACUACUGGAAACCGUAGCUAAUACCGCAUACCAUCUGAUGUGCCCAGAUUGGAUUAGCGAGUAGGUGGGGUAAAGGCUCACCUAGGCGAAGAUACCUAGCUGGUCUGAGAGGAUGAUCGGCCAAACUGGAACUGAGACACGGUCCAGACUCCUACGGGAGGAAGCAGUGGGGAAUCUUGCGCAAUGGGCGAAAGUCUGAUGCAGCCAUGCCGCGUGUAUGAAGAAGGUCUUCGGGUUGUAAAGUACUUUCAGCGGGGAGGCGUUACCCGCAGAAGAAGCAACGGCUAACUCCGUGCCAGCAGCCGCGGUAAUAC